rnacentral:rRNA from 1 species
UACGUAGGGGGCGAGCGUUGUCCGGAGUUACUGGGCGUAAAGCGCACGCAGGCGGUCUGCUAAGUUUGGAGUGACAGUUGGUGGCUCAACCACCAAAGUGCUUCGAAAACUGACAGACUUGAGGGCUUCAGAGGGACACGGAAUUCCGGGUGGAGUGGUGAAAUGCGGUAGAGAUCCGGAGGAACACCGAAGGCGAAGGCAGUGUCCUGGGGAGUACCUGACGCUCGAGGUGACGAAGCUAGGGAGCGAACGGAUGAGA